UUGGAGGGCAAGUCUGGUGCCAGCAGCCGCGGUAAUUCCAGCUCCAAUAGCGUAUAUUAAAGUUGUUGCAGUUAAAAAGCUCGUAGUUGAAUUUCGGGGUUAGUAGGUUGGUCAUGCCUCCGGUAUGUACUGGUCUCACUGAUUCCUCCUUCCUGAUGAACCGUAAUGCCAUUAAUUUGGUGUUGCGGGGAAUUUGGACUGUUACUUUGAAAAAAUUAGAGUGUUUAAAGCAAGCUAACGCUUGAAUACAUUAGCAUGGAAUAAUGAAAUAGGACG
rnacentral:rRNA from 1 species